rfam:Triticum aestivum genome assembly, contig: Triticum_aestivum_CS42_TGACv1_scaffold_569084_7AS
GAACUACUCCCUCCGUUCCGAAUUACUUGUCUUAGAUUUGUCUAGAUACGGAACUAUCUAGAUAGUUCCGUAUCUAGACAAAUCUAAGACAAGUAAUUCGGAACGGAGGGAGUAGCAC